rnacentral:rRNA from 1 species
UACGGAGGAUCCAAGCGUUAUCCGGAUUUAUUGGGUUUAAAGGGCGCGUAGGCGGAUUGAUAAGUUAGAGGUGAAAUGUCCGAGCUCAACUCGGGAACUGCCUCUAAUACUGUUGAUCUAGAGAGUAGAUGCGGUAGGCGGAAUGUAUGGUGUAGCGGUGAAAUGCUUAGAGAUCAUACAGAACACCGAUUGCGAAGGCAGCUUACCAAUCUAUAUCUGACGUUGAGGCACGAAAGCGUGGGGAGCAAACAGG